GGUUCCUGCAACUGCUGCAGACGCCACAGUUGAUGAGCCUCUUGCAGGGCACGCAGACCCCACACCUUUUCCUCUUCUUCUUGGCCGGGUUGGCUCCGCCAGCUCCCCCCGAGGAGGACGAGGAGGAGGAGGAAUGAUUCUGCGGGCAGUCUGCCAGAUUGGCAAUUUGAAACGCACUGUCUGUGACGGCUGCUGAGGCUGCUGCGGGGGAGUGAAGGGCUGUCAUGACGAUGACCCCUGGAGGUGGAGACAGAAAAUCAGAAGCAAUCAAAAUGCAGUUUAUGGAGCUUAGUCCCAACAAUUACCUCUCCAACUCCGUCACCUAUGGCCCACUGAAGAGGGCUCUUCAUUGCAGAAGAGAGUGUAGAAAGAUCGGAAGAGCCGGAAGGUUGAGGAAGUUGUUAUGGGAUGGAGUUUGCUCUGAGAUGGUGUCUCCUAGGAAUGUCAGAAGGGCUAGACCAAUAAAUAUCCUUUCAUGGUUAAAAAAUACUAUAAAAAUGAGGUCUGGAAGGAAUUUAUCCUAACAUAGGGGAUACGUGUGAAAACUUUCUAGCUUCUAUCAUUAUAAACAGAAGGAAAGCUGAAAUUGUUGUGCAGAGAUAGUGGUUCGAGACCCCUUUGGGGGUUGAAUGACCAUUUCACAGAGGUUGCCUGAAACCAUCUGAAAAAGAUAGUUAUAUUAUAAUUCAUAACAUUAGCAAAAUUACAAUUAUAAAAUAACAAUGAAAUUUAUGGUUGGGGGUCACUACAAAUUGAGGAACUGUAUGAAAGGGUCUCAGCAUGAUGAUGGUUGAGAACCACUGGUCUAAGAUGAGGAAUAAGACAAAGAUUCCAUCUUCACAACUCAUAUUUAAUAUAGUAUUAGAAGUUCAGGCCAAGAAAUAAAACAAGAAAAAGAAAUGNNNNNNNNNNNNNNNNNNNNNNNNNNNNNNNNNNNNNNUAAAUUUAAUAGUUACAGGCUAUAAAACCACCAUAAAAAUAAGUAGCAUUUUGUACUUUAUUAAUAAAGUUUCUAAGAAACCAAAGAAGCAAUCUCAAAAACAGAUGUAAAAAAUACAUAAAAGAAAAUUUUAAACAAGGAAAUUAAUGAUCUCUGCAAAGAAAUGAACAAAACACUGUUGAGAUAAAUUGAAGAUGACACACAAAAAAUGAAAAGAAAUCCUAUACCGGAGAUAUUGCAAUGUCUGCUAUGUAAACAUACUUAGUAUUACUAAAGAAAGUAUAGAGUGAUAGAAAGCAAAACAUAGGUGAAUGACCUGAAUUGACUUUGCCCCAAUAUAUUGUAUAAAUUGCUAAGAAGAAUAUGAAAAAAAAAAACGUAUCAUCAGAGAAAUGCAAAUUGAAACCUCCUCAAGAUAUCAUAUUACCCCUAUUAGAAUGCAUAUCAUAAAAAGAACAAACACAGGUUGGCAAAGAUGAGAAAUUGGGAACUCUCAUGUAAUGGCGGAAAUAUAAAUUAGGACAUAAGGGAAAACAGUAUGGAAUAUAAUAUGGAAUUUCUCUACAAAGCUAUAAGAAAAGCCUUAUAUGAUCUAUGAAUCCCACUACUGCUAAGGAGUCAAAGGAAAUGACAUCAUCAUCAGGCAUGCUGCACUAGCAUGCUGGUUGCAGAAUUUUCAAAAUAGCCAGUACAUCGAAUCAGCCUAUGUGUAAGAUAAAUAGACAAGGAAAAUGUGGUGGAAAUACAUAACGGAGUGAAAGCAAUGAAGAGAACAGAAGUCUGUGGAUUGUAGCAUGACUGAAGACAUUAAAAAGAGUGAAAACUCAGACGCAAAAGCUGAAGUCACAUGCUCUCUCCUAUGGGUGCUAAAGUUGAUUUCACAGAGAAUAAAAUAAUACCAGAGGCUGCUUAGUAUUACACAGAGUAUUGUUGUUGGUUUCCAGUUAGCAGGUUGAUAUGGGGAAUAACUUCUAAUAUUUUUUUUCUUUUUUAAAAAUAUGUUUUAUUAUUACUUAUUUUCCUCAAUUACAUUUAGAAUGCUAUCCCAAAAGUCCCCCAUACCCCCCCCCCACUUCCCUACCUACCCAUUCCCAUUUAUUGGCCCUGGCAUUCCCCUGUACUGGGGCAUAUACAGUUUGUGUGUCCAAUGGGCCUGUCUUCCCACUGAUGGCCGACUAGGCCAUCUUUUGAUACAUAUGCAGCUAGAGUCAAGAGCUCUGGGGUACUGGUUAGUUNNNNNNNNNNNNNNNNNNNNNUGUGUAAAUGUACCACAUUUUUUGUAUCCAUUCCUCUGUUGAGGGGCAUAGCAUACAUAAUUACUAUGUUUCUUGACAAUUAAUUGAACAUUUCAAAAUAGAUAGCAGAGAGAAAUUUGGAUGCUCAAAUAUUGUAGGAAAAGUUUUAGAUAUUUCACUUAUAUUUCCAUGUCACAAACAUGUGUGGUAGGUUGUGUUUGUUUUUGUCACCCCUCUGUAACUAAAACCCUUCACAGAAGUAACUUGAGGGGGAUUUCCUUCAGCUCGAGGUUUCAGAGGGCUGUCAUUGAUUUUAGAGAAGGGAAGCACAACAGAGCAGUUCGGUUCAUAUUGGUGAAAGCUGUUCGCAUGGUAAUGGAUGAGGAAGCAGAGCCAGAUAGCCUGCAAAGGGAAUGCCUCUCCAGACCUACUUCUGCCAGAUUGGCCCCAUUCUGCAAAGUUCCUGCAACCUCCCAAAAGAGAACCAUCAGCUGGGAAAGAAGCCAAACAAGACUUCAUAACGAGAACUUCUGAGGACUAAUUCAGAGGGAAAUCACACACUAUGGAUUAACUAAAAAUAAAAAUAAAGGAGGAAAAUCAUUUUUCUCAGUGGUGCAGCCAUUGAUAAGCUACAUCCAUCCCAUAGAAACAAUACAAGUUAAAAUUAAGUAGGGGUAUUCACGUAUAAAAACAAAUAAAAAUGUAUAUUAAUACAAAUAUAUUACAAAUAAUAUAUAUUCUUACAAAUAUUACAUAUAUACAGAGAGAAACUGCUUAGUUUUCAGAAAGAGAUAAACAUCAUAACUGACUACACUAAUAAUGUUACUAUCCUUAUGAACACUGAGAGCUGUUACAUGAGAAUAGUUGUAAUUUAAUACUUAAUAUUUCCUUUUCUUUGUGACUGGCAUGUCCAUUUCUACAUGUAGUUUUUAUGAAUUCAUUUUCAAAUUCUUUCUUAUGUGGCUGUAGACUUCAGUGCCCUGUGAGUUACAAGAUGACCACCAACAAUGAAAGGAUAGUUUAUUGUCACAAAGGAUAUAUUCAAAAUGGGAACAAUUUAGAGACUUAUUUUCUCAGUAUCUCAAAUAUUUUGCUUUACACUCAGGUACUAAUAAUUCUUUCAAUGUUUUCUGUUGCUCACUGCUACCCUCAUGUUUUGUGAAAUAAUCCUGUAGAGAUUGUAUAGUUAUCAAGGCCUCCAAGGUUGUCUUAUAUCAUUUUUUGCCUGUUUAUUUUCCUGUCAAUCCACGUGUAAACAUUAAACGAGGUACUCAUAUCAUACCCUUAAUGAAUGCUGCUGUGUGUCCUUCCUUGUCAUGAUGCUGUCUGAGAUCUUUCCUAUAUCUUUAUAUGUAUGUGAAGGAUUAACAAGACCUAUACUUGUUCCAGUUAUGAUUUUUUUCACUAUUUAUUUCCCAUCAAGUGUUUAAAUAUAAAUUUAUAAAU
ensembl:antisense